AUCAAAUGCAAUCUUUCUCCAGUUAUCCAUCAGCGUUGCGAUCAGUUUUCAUGCAAUUGCUUCUGUGAGACAAUCUCAUUACAAAAUGUCGAGAAUUGCAUUGCUCCUGAUUUUAGUUCAGUCUCUAAUAUUUGUGGCUUCCGGACCUUAUAAUGGCCUCCACAUACCGUCUGAAUGUACAGAUAAUCCCUUCUUUGCUGAUUGUACACUUGUUGUGACUUGUGCGGAGUAAAUUCUGCAACCACAAGUUUUACUCGCAGUUUUGUUGCAAAUCCUGCAUCGAGUCUGGACAGGUGGACCCUAUGAGAACUUUAAACCACCUUGAAGAUGAUUAUUGGAACUAGAUUAGCACAUUUCUCGACUGUACAUCCCAUGUUUUUGCAAGUCAUAAAUAUGGUGCCAAUCGUCUAUACUCCUACUAAAUUCACUUAGCUACAAAUACUUAUUGCUUAUGCGUUAUAAUAAAAUGUAUUAUCGGUUUAA